AACUCUUACCUACUAAAUAUUUGUUAUCAGCGACAUUACCAAGUAUUUCAUCAAAAGGGGUAAAUAUAAAUCCAUACUUUGAUAUGGUCAAAACAUUUUCUAUCACACGUACAACCGUAGAAUAUUGAAAAUUGAUUUUGUAAGGAUGAUUAGUGGUCCUGUAGGAGCCGCUGCUCUGCCCCACUCCAAACUGGUUGAUCACAUAAACUUUUCCUUCCGUAAAAAGGCCUUUAAAUUUAUUCAGAAAAGCUUUUCUUAUCGUUGCAUGUGUUCUAUCUCCCUAAAAUAGAAAAUAAACAAAUUAUAUAGUAUAUUUUAGAAAAAAAAUAAAGCAAAUGUAUGUUAAAUUUGAAAAUAAAAUCGUAUCUUACAUUUUGAGUUUGACUGUUAAUUAUCUGCCAAUACAAAAUUUGAGUUUGACUGUUAGAUUAUUGAUUUCGGAACCAAUAAUUUUAAAUAAUUAAUUAUCUGCCAAUACGAAAUUUGAGUUUGACCCUUUUUUUCGCAACUAACCAUUUCAAAUAAUUCGCAACAGAUUAUUGCUUAUUUCGCAACCAAUAAUUUUAAAUAAUUAAUUAUCUGCCAAUACGAAAUUUGAGUUUGACCCUUUUUUUCGCAACUAACCAUUUCAAAUAAUUCGCAACACUUUGAUACGGUCAAAACAUUUUCUAUCUCACGUACAACCGUAGAAUAUUGAAAAUUGAUUUUGUAAGGAUGAUUAGUGGUCCUGUAGGAGCCGCUGCUCUGCCCCACUCCAAACUGGUUGAUCACAUAAACUUUUCCUUCCGUAAAAAGGCCUUUAAAUUUAUUUAGAAAAGCUUUUCUUAUCGUUGCAUGUGUUCU
rnacentral:lncRNA from 1 species